ensembl:lncRNA LINC00710 long intergenic non-protein coding RNA 710
GACAUUUGAAAAGAUCUGAAGAUACGCCCCUUGGAUGCCUGCAGAGAAGCUCUGGGGCUUCAGUCAAUGACUCAGGGUAGCCACCGAACAUGAUGCUCGGGCAGUGGGUGCCACCUGGACUCCACUCUCCCCUCUCUCUGGGAUCAUAGAGUCCAAGGUGUUCUGUGGCCUCUCGGCCAAUCCCAGCAGCUCAGCGUGCAGAAGACCGAGGAGCCAUUGGAAUUCAACACAACACGAAAUAAUCAACAAAUUCGGGGAAUGUUAAUCUGACCAUCACCAGUUACAAAUGAUGUUUCAUGCUACCUUCUAUUCCUGCCUUCAUAAAUCAAGGUAAUUACUUGGCAAUCUGGCUAUGCCUUGUAAGGCAAAAGAGCUGUUCAUUUCUUGUGUCAAAUGGUGAACAGGGAGGGAGAGUAAAAUGGUAAAUAACCCUGCCUCCCAUCUGUGCCCAAUCAGCUCUAAAUCUCCAGGAAAAAAUGUGCUCAGGAUGGCCAGAGAAAUGUCCUUCCAACUGUGCAUGGAAAGGUAUGAUUUUGUGCAGCAGGUGAAGGACUGGUUAGAGUAAGUGUGUGCUGAGCUUUUGUGUUUGAAAGCGAGCCUGUGCACUUCUAACGAUUGGAAGGUUUCCUUGCCUUCUCCGAUCUUACACACAGCAAGGACAGCAAAGCCUUCCAGACCUGCCUGUGACAUGCACUGCACAUUCUAAAGAUGCCUAUGCAAUGGAAAACACCACUGUCUGCUCCAGCACAGCUGCCAUUCUUCCAUCUUAUCGACCUUAAUGCAACAACUCCUCACAGGCAGAGAUUUUAAAAUGUGUUCUUGGCAGAAGAGAGACUCAAAGAUGGGACAAAUGUGUCAUUUAAAUGCCUGUUAAAAUGGAAACAGACAUAGUAUAGUCAGAGGAUUGUGGCAGCUAAGAACAUAGUCUCUGGAGCAAAUCUGCAUGGGUGGCAAUGCCAAGCACAUGAGGUCCUAGUUGUAUGAACUUAGGUAAGUACAGAGGGUUCAUACUUCUCUAUACCUCAUCUCUAAAUGGAGUCAAUAAAAGAACUUACCUUAGAAGUAUUAUUGUAUUAAAUGAAUUAACAUUUGUGAGGGGCUUAGAAUAGUGCCUGGGAGUCACCAUGUGAGUCUUUAUUAAAUAAAAAAAAAACACUAAAA